GACGAACGCUGGCGGCGUGCUUAACACAUGCAAGUCGAACGGAAAGGCCCUGCUUUUGUUGGGUGCUCGAGUGGCGAACGGGUGAGUAACACGUGAGUAACCCGCCCUUGACUUUGUGAUAACUUCAGGAAACUGGGGCUAAUACCGGAUAGGAGCUCCUGCUGCCUGGUGGGCGUUGGAAAGUUUCGGCGGUUGGGGAUGGACGCGCGGCUUAUCAGCUUGUUGGUUGGGUAGUGGCUUACCCAGGCUUUGGCGGGUAGCCGGCCUGAGAGGGUGACCGGCGACAUUGGGACUGAGAGACGGCCCAGACUCCUACGGGAGGCAGCAGUGGGGAAUAUGGCACAAUGGGCGGAAGCCUGAGGCAGAAACGCCGCGUGCGGGAUGACGGCCUUCGGGGUGUGAACCGCUGUCGCCUGUGACGAAGCGGGAGUGACGGUAAUGGGUAAAGAAGCACCGGCUAACUACGUG
rnacentral:rRNA from 1 species